GUGACGUCGUGCUUCGGUUACAGCAGACUCCGGGGGUGGGAGCUUGCCGCUUCACUGGGUACUAUGUGCUGACCAACCUGCCUGCCAUGCAUAAAAUGAUGAUUGAUGGAUGGCAAAUCACUUGCUUCUCCGCGGUCUUAUCUCUCACUGUAUCUUUAGCACCAUGGUUAGUGCCCGCUGUGUCCUUAGUACUUAGGAAACGGCUGUUUAUUAGUGAACACUGAGGAAGUCUUAGUCCUAAAUUUUAGUUUUCUGAGGCUCCUAGUCUGCUGUUUCCCAGAAACUAACCUCUGUGAGAGUCACACCUGUGAAGGAUUUUGCUGGGUUCUGUGUGUGAGGAGAUGACUGAGGCGGUGGCAGGGCCGAGAAAGCUGCCAUCACGGAGGCGCCCCCUGGUGUGGUGGAGGAUGUGCGCUACUCAGGAGCCUUCCUUGGGUGGCACAGCUUGUCCUUUCUGGUGUCCUUUAGCUCACGAGGUAAUAUAUCAGCACCCUUCAUUUGCUAUCUUAUUCUCCAAAGGACUCUGCUGUUCAGAAGAAACCAAGAAACCCAAGAUGGCUGCAAAUCUACCACGUUUUCUUCAGGAUCAUUUGUAAGGCGAACAGCUUGUUUGAAAUCAGAAGUCAUGGAGAAAGGAUAAUGUGACAUUUUCAUGAAGUAAAUGUUAAGGGGUAAAGCUAUUAAAAUAUAAAAUGUAACCAGAAAAAGAGAGACCCAGCCUUCUCAUUCCCUGAGUGGAUGAUACAAAGGACUUGUGAGGAUCCUGGUCUUUAUGAAUUUUUUUUAAUUAAAAAUAUGCUUUGU